ACAGUCUUAGGUUCGUAUAGAGUGCCUCUGGUGAGUUAUUUUGCCACAUGUUCAUGCCUGAGUGAUCGGCAAAGAUUUCCGUCUUUCUUUAGGACGAUUCCAAGUGAUGCUUUUCAGGUGAAUGCUAUGAUUCAG